rnacentral:rRNA from 1 species
AUUGAACGCCGGCGGCAUGCCUUACACAUGCAAGUCGAACGGCAGCACGGGGCAACCUGGUGGCGAGUGGCGAACGGGUGAGUAAUGCAUCGGAACGUGCCAUUGAGUGGGGGGAUAACGUAGCGAAAGUUGCGCUAAUACCGCAUAUUCUGUGAGCAGGAAAGCAGGGGACCGCAAGGCCUUGCGCUCUUUGAGCGGCCGAUGUCAGAUUAGCUAGUUGGUGAGGUAACGGCUUACCAAGGCGACGAUCUGUAGCGGGUCUGAGAGGAUGAUCCGCCACACUGGAACUGAGACACGGUCCAGACUCCUACGGGAGGCAGCAGUGGGGAAUUUUGGACAAUGGGCGCAAGCCUGAUCCAGCCAUGCCGCGUGAGUGAAGAAGGCCUCGGUGUAAGGACUACUUUCGGUCCGGGAACGGAAAGUAC